rnacentral:rRNA from 1 species
AUUGAACGCUGGCGGCAGGCCUAACACAUGCAAGUCGAACGAGUGGCGGACGGGUGUGUAAUGCUUGGGAAUCUAGCUUAUGGAGGGGGAUAACUACGGGAAACUGUAGCUAAUACCGCGUACCAUAGGAUGAGCCCAAGUGGGAUUAGUUGGUUGGUGGGGUAAAGGCUCACCAAGCCGACGAUCUCUAGCCGGUCUGAGAGGAUGACCGGCCAAACGGGGACUGGGAAACGGCCCAGACUCCUACGGAAGGCAGAAGUGGGGAAUAUUGGGAAAUGGGGGAAAUCGGACGAAGAAAGGCCGGGUGAAGGAGGAAGGCCUUCGGGUUGUAAAGUUCUUUCGGUAGCGAGACGUUAACUACAGAGGAAGCAACGGCUAACUCCGUGCCAGCAGCCGCGGUAAUUC